GUGUCAGCCGCCGCGGUAAUACGUAGGGUGCUAGCGUUGUUCGGAAUCAUUGGGCGUAAAGCGCGUGUAGGCGGUUAGUUAAGUCGGGUGUGAAAUCCCUGGGCUUAACCGAGGAAGUGCAUCCGAAACUAACUAGCUGGAGAAUGGUAGAGGAAGGUGGAAUUCCAAGUGUAGAGGUGAAAUUCGUAGAUAUUUGGAGGAAUACCGGUGGCGAAGGCGGCCUUCUGGGCCAUUUCUGACGCUGAGACGCGAAAGCGUGGGGAGCAAACAGGAUUAGAUACCCUGGUAGUCCACGCCGUAAACGAUGGGUACUAGAUGUUGCAGGAAUUGACCCCUGCAGUGUCGACGCUAACGCAUUAAGUACCCCGCCUGGGAAGUACGGCCGCAAGGUUAAA
rnacentral:rRNA from 1 species